AAAAUCUCCCCAAACCCCAUCAACAGAACUAAAACCAAAACCCUCCUCUCUCUCUCUCUCUCUGCCCGUGAGACGACCAAACCCUAAUAACCGGAAAGAGCCCAAAAAGGAAGGAAAAAGGGAGAUAGGAUGGCUCACAGACUCCCGGAUCGCGAACAAGGAUCCGAUCCAUCAUCACAGGCUCGGUUCUACGACCCCUACCACGGCCUCCAGGUCCCCAUCCCGGCCCGCAAUGUCUAUCAGCUCCCAACCGGACCCCAAUAUCUCUUCGAUGAGGAGGCUAGCCGCAACCGCCGCGGCUGGAGCGACAACAUCACUUUCCUCACUGGAUGCGGCUACCUAACCGGCGCUAUCGGGGGUGGCGCCUCCGGGUUGGUGUCGGGCGUCAGGUCCUUUGAACCUGCGGACACCACGAAGCUCCGCCUCAGCCGGGUCCUUAACUCCUCGGGCCACGCUGGCCGGGCUUGGGGCAACCGAAUAGGCGUCAUCGGCCUCAUCUUCGCUGGCAUGGAGAGCGGGAUUGUCGCCCUCAGGGACACUGACGACGUCUGGAAUAGCGUGGCGGCUGGGCUUGGAACUGGAGCCGUUUAUCGCGCGGCGCGUGGCGUGAGGUCCGCAGCGGUGGCGGGCGCCUUCGGCGGCGUAUUGGUUGGUCUCGCCGUAACGGCAAAGCAGGCGAUGAAGCGUUACGCGCCCAUAUGAGAAUUCUGUUCAUAUGCGGCAAUAGGUGGAAUGAUUGGAGUAAUCGAUAGUGGAGUCGUGGGAACGACGUGAUUUGGUGGUUUGGUGCUAAAUCCUAGAGGCCUUUGUAAUAAUUUCAUUAUUACAGAUUUUUAGCUGGCUAGCAAAAUUUAUUUAAGGUCUACUGCAAGCAUUACCUGUAGUAUUACUUUGGAUGGAGUUUCAUGCCCUGUUGGGCUGAUUCUGUAUAUGAGGAAUCGUGAUUGCUUGCUAACAUAUGUUGUACGUGGGGACAAGCCAUGCAUGCAUUCAAAGUAACUUCUGCAGAUGAAAAAU